UUAAGCGACUAAGCGUACACGGUGGAUGCCCUGGCAGUCAGAGGCGAUGAAGGACGUGCUAAUCUGCGAUAAGCGUCGGUAAGGUGAUAUGAACCGUUAUAACCGGCGAUUUCCGAAUGGGGAAACCCAGUGUGAUUCGUCACACUAUCAUUAACUGAAUCCAUAGGUUAAUGAGGCGAACCGGGGGAACUGAAACAUCUAAGUACCCCGAGGAAAAGAAAUCAACCGAGAUUCCCCCAGUAGCGGCGAGCGAACGGGGAGCAGCCCAGAGCCUGAAUCAGUGUGUGUGUUAGUGGAAGCGUCUGGAAAGGCGCGCGAUACAGGGUGACAGCCCCGUACACAAAAAUGCACAUGCUGUGAGCUCGAUGAGUAGGGCGGGACACGUGGUAUCCUGUCUGAAUAUGGGGGGACCAUCCUCCAAGGCUAAAUACUCCUGACUGACCGAUAGUGAACCAGUACCGUGAGGGAAAGGCGAAAAGAACCCCGGCGAGGGGAGUGAAAAAGAACCUGAAACCGUGUACGUACAAGCAGUGGGAGCACAGAGCAAUCUGUGUGACUGCGUACCUUUUGUAUAAUGGGUCAGCGACUUAUAUUCUGUAGCAAGGUUAACCGAAUAGGGGAGCCGAAGGGAAACCGAGUCUUAACUGGGCGUUAAGUUGCAGGGUAUAGACCCGAAACCCGGUGAUCUAGCCAUGGGCAGGUUGAAGGUUGGGUAACACUAACUGGAGGACCGAACCGACUAAUGUUGAAAAAUUAGCGGAUGACUUGUGGCUGGGGGUGAAAGGCCAAUCAAACCGGGAGAUAGCUGGUUCUCCCCGAAAGCUAUUUAGGUAGCGCCUCGUGAAUUCAUCUCCGGGGGUAGAGCACUGUUUCGGCAAGGGGGUCAUCCCGACUUACCAACCCGAUGCAAACUGCGAAUACCGGAGAAUGUUAUCACGGGAGACACACGGCGGGUGCUAACGUCCGUCGUGAAGAGGGAAACAACCCAGACCGCCAGCUAAGGUCCCAAAGUCAUGGUUAAGUGGGAAACGAUGUGGGAAGGCCCAGACAGCCAGGAUGUUGGCUUAGAAGCAGCCAUCAUUUAAAGAAAGCGUAAUAGCUCACUGGUCGAGUCGGCCUGCGCGGAAGAUGUAACGGGGCUAAACCAUGCACCGAAGCUGCGGCAGCGACGCUGAUGCGUUGUUGGGUAGGGGAGCGUUCUGUAAGUCUGCGAAGGUGUGCUGUGAGGCAUGCUGGAGGUAUCAGAAGUGCGAAUGCUGACAUAAGUAACGAUAAAGCGGGUGAAAAGCCCGCUCGCCGGAAGACCAAGGGUUCCUGUCCAACGUUAAUCGGGGCAGGGUGAGUCGACCCCUAAGGCGAGGCCGAAAGGCGUAGUCGAUGGGAAACAGGUUAAUAUUCCUGUACUUGGUGUUACUGCGAAGGGGGGACGGAGAAGGCUAUGUUGGCCGGGCGACGGUUGUCCCGGUUUAAGCGUGUAGGCUGGUUUUCCAGGCAAAUCCGGAAAAUCAAGGCUGAGGCGUGAUGACGAGGCACUACGGUGCUGAAGCAACAAAUGCCCUGCUUCCAGGAAAAGCCUCUAAGCAUCAGGUAACAUCAAAUCGUACCCCAAACCGACACAGGUGGUCAGGUAGAGAAUACCAAGGCGCUUGAGAGAACUCGGGUGAAGGAACUAGGCAAAAUGGUGCCGUAACUUCGGGAGAAGGCACGCUGAUAUGUAGGUGAAGCGACUUGCUCGUGGAGCUGAAAUCAGUCGAAGAUACCAGCUGGCUGCAACUGUUUAUUAAAAACACAGCACUGUGCAAACACGAAAGUGGACGUAUACGGUGUGACGCCUGCCCGGUGCCGGAAGGUUAAUUGAUGGGGUCAGCGCAAGCGAAGCUCUUGAUCGAAGCCCCGGUAAACGGCGGCCGUAACUAUAACGGUCCUAAGGUAGCGAAAUUCCUUGUCGGGUAAGUUCCGACCUGCACGAAUGGCGUAAUGAUGGCCAGGCUGUCUCCACCCGAGACUCAGUGAAAUUGAACUCGCUGUGAAGAUGCAGUGUACCCGCGGCAAGACGGAAAGACCCCGUGAACCUUUACUAUAGCUUGACACUGAACAUUGAGCCUUGAUGUGUAGGAUAGGUGGGAGGCUUUGAAGUGUGGACGCCAGUCUGCAUGGAGCCGGCCUUGAAAUACCACCCUUUAAUGUUUGAUGUUCUAACGUUGACCCGUGAUCCGGGUUGCGGACAGUGUCUGGUGGGUAGUUUGACUGGGGCGGUCUCCUCCUAAAGAGUAACGGAGGAGCACGAAGGUUGGCUAAUCCUGGUCGGACAUCAGGAGGUUAGUGCAAUGGCAUAAGCCAGCUUGACUGCGAGCGUGACGGCGCGAGCAGGUGCGAAAGCAGGUCAUAGUGAUCCGGUGGUUCUGAAUGGAAGGGCCAUCGCUCAACGGAUAAAAGGUACUCCGGGGAUAACAGGCUGAUACCGCCCAAGAGUUCAUAUCGACGGCGGUGUUUGGCACCUCGAUGUCGGCUCAUCACAUCCUGGGGCUGAAGUAGGUCCCAAGGGUAUGGCUGUUCGCCAUUUAAAGUGGUACGCGAGCUGGGUUUAGAACGUCGUGAGACAGUUCGGUCCCUAUCUGCCGUGGGCGCUGGAGAACUGAGGGGGGCUGCUCCUAGUACGAGAGGACCGGAGUGGACGCAUCACUGGUGUUCGGGUUGUCAUGCCAAUGGCACUGCCCGGUAGCUAAAUGCGGAAGAGAUAAGUGCUGAAAGCAUCUAAGCACGAAACUUGCCCCGAGAUGAGUUCUCCCUGACUCCUUGAGAGUCCUGAAGGAACGUUGAAGACGACGACGUUGAUAGGCCGGGUGUGUAAGCGCAGCGAUGCGUUGAGCUAACCGGUACUAAUGAACCGUGAGGCUUAACCUU
rnacentral:rRNA from 1 species